GUCCUGGCCUUAAACGAUGGAUGCUUGGUGUCUGGGGUUUUAUAGUCCCCGGGUGCCGCAGCUAACGCGUUAAGCAUCCCGCCUGGGGAGUACGGUCGCAAGACUGAAACUCAAAGGAAUUGACGGGGACCCCGCACAAGCGGUGGAGCAUGUGGUUCAAUUCGACGCAACGCGAAGAACCUUACCUGGGCUAGAAUGCCUCUGACAUCCUCAGAGAUGAGGUCUCUUAGGGAAACCUAAGCAGAGUGCAAGGUGCUGCAUGGCUGUCGU
rnacentral:rRNA from 1 species